CGUAGGGUGCGAGCGUUAAUCGGAAUUACUGGGCGUAGAGCGUGCGCAGGCGGUUUUGUAAGACAGAUGUGAAAUCCCCGGGCUCAACCUGGGACCUGCAUUUGUGACUGCAAGGCUAGAGUACGGUAGAGGGGGAUGGAAUUCCGCGUGUAGCAGUGAAAUGCGUAGAUAUGCGGAGGAACACCGAUGGCGAAGGCAAUCCCCUGGACCUGUACUGACGCUCAUGCACGAAAGCGUGGGGAGCAAACAGGAUUAGAUACCCUGGUAGUCCACGCCCUAAACGAUGUCAACUGGUUGUUGGGUCUUUACUGACUCAAUAACGAAGCUAACGCGUGAAGUUGACCGCCUGGGGAGUACGGCCGCAAGGUUG
rnacentral:rRNA from 1 species